rnacentral:rRNA from 1 species
GAUGAACGCUAGCGGCAGGCUUAACACAUGCAAGUCGAGGGGCAGCAUAAUUGUAGUAAUACUAUUGAUGGCGACCGGCGGACGGGUGCGUAACGCGUAUGCAACCUACCCUUUACAGGGGGAUAACACUGAGAAAUCGGUACUAAUACCCCAUAAUAUUCUGGGAGGCAUCUUUCGGAGUUGAAAGCUUUGGUGGUAAAGGAUGGGCAUGCGUUGUAUUAGCUAGUUGGUAAGGUAACGGCUUACCAAGGCGACGAUACAUAGGGGGACUGAGAGGUUAACCCCCCACAUUGGUACUGAGACACGGACCAAACUCCUACGGGAGGCAGCAGUGAGGAAUAUUGGUCAAUGGACGGAAGUCUGAACCAGCCAUGCCGCGUGCAGGAAGACGGCUCUAUGAGUUGUAAACUGCUUUUGUACGAGGGUAAACGCAGAUACGUGUAUCUGCCUGAAAGUAUCGUACGAAUAAGGAUCGGCUAACUCCGUGCCAGCAGCCGCGGUAAUACGGAGGAUCCAAGCGUUAUCCGGAUUUAUUGGGUUUAAAGGGUGCGUAGGCGGUUUAGUAAGUCAGCGGUGAAAUUUUGGUGCUUAACACCAAACGUGCCGUUGAUACUGCUGGGCUAGAGAGUAGUUGCGGUAGGCGGAAUGUAUGGUGUAGCGGUGAAAUGCUUAGAGAUCAUACAGAACACCGAUUGCGAAGGCAGCUUACCAAACUAUAUCUGACGUUGAGGCACGAAAGCGUGGGGAGCAAACAGGAUUAGAUACCCUGGUAGUCCACGCAGUAAACGAUGAUAGCUCGUUGUCGGCGAUACACAGUCGGUGACUAAGAGAAAUCGAUAAGCUAUCCACCUGGGGAGUACGUUCGCAAGAAUGAAACUCAAAGGAAUUGACGGGGGCCCGCACAAGCGGAGGAACAUGUGGUUUAAUUCGAUGAUACGCGAGGAACCUUACCCGGGCUUGAAAGUUACUGACGAUUCUGGAAACAGGAUUUCCCUUCGGGGCAGGAAACUAGGUGCUGCAUGGUUGUCGUCAGCUCGUGCCGUGAGGUGUCGGGUUAAGUCCCAUAACGAGCGCAACCCCUACUGAUAGUUGCCAUCAGA